UACGGAGGGUGCGAGCGUUGUCCGGAAUCACUGGGCGUAAAGGGCGCGUAGGCGGCUCAUGAAGGCUGUGGUGAAAGCCCGGGGCUCAACCUCGGAUCGGCCGUGGCGACUCGUGGGCUGGAGCACUGUAGAGGCGGGUGGAAUUCCCGGUGUAGCGGUGGAAUGCGUAGAGAUCCGGAAGAACACCAGUGGCGAAGGCGGCCCGCUGGGCAGUGGCUGACGCUGAAGCGCGACAGCGUGGGGAGCAAACAGG
rnacentral:rRNA from 1 species